UCACUUACCUGGACGGGGUCAAUGGGCGAUCAAGAAUGUCAAUGGCCUAGGUUGGUGACCUCCAUUGCACUUAGGAGGGGUGCCCGCCUAAGGUCGGCCCAAGUGGUCGAGCCUACGUCAUAAUUUGUGGCAGUGGAGGCCUGCGUUCGCGCGGCCUCUU
rfam:Helianthus annuus linkage group 12, whole genome shotgun sequence.